rnacentral:lncRNA from 1 species
GUGCUUUACUGGAAAUGGCUAAACAUCUUCCUGGUAAUGGGAAGUAGUGAAGGAAUUCUUUAUUUUGUUCUGCCUUCAAGCACAGCUUUUGCUUUACAUAAUAAGCAGUCUUUACUUCAACCCACAAACAUUCUCACCAUUACUUUUCUCAUUUUCUUCCUCAUCCCACUGGAGGAGAGUAAAUGAGCAGUUGUGUGGUGUUUAGCUGCCUGCAGAGGCUGAGCAUUGGUAGAAAAGGUAUAAACCGAGACUCCAAACAGGGCCUCAGCUGUGAGACCACACUCCUCCAUAGAUCUAUGGACCUUCUCUCCUCCUUCGCCUACAUUCCAUCCUGGCAUAAAACUUGUAACUCUUAGCUCUUUUUAUUUCUUCAGACUAAUAGACAUAAUUAAAUUAUACUCUUGGCAAUUUUUCAUAAGACAUUUGGGGUUUAUUGUUUCUGUUUUCUGAGUUGAAAA